rnacentral:rRNA from 1 species
AAUGAACGCUGGCGGCGCGCCUAAUACAUGCAAGUCGAGCGAGAAGACGUAGCAAUACGUUUGUAAAGCGGCGAACGGGUGAGGAAUACAUGGGUAACCUACCCUAGAGUGGGGAAUAACUAGCCGAAAGGUUAGCUAAUACCGCGUACGCUCCUUGGACUUCGGUUCAGGGAGGAAAGCGAUGCCGAGGGUAUCGCGCUCUUGGAUGGGCUCAUGUCCUAUCAGCUUGNGGUGAGGUAACGGCUCACCAAGGCUUCGACGGGUAGCUGGUCUGAGAGGACGAUCAGCCACACUGGGCACUGCGACACGGGGCCAGACUCCUACGGGAGGCAGCAGUAAGGAAUAUUGCGCAAUGGGCGAAAGCCUGACGCAGCGACGCCGCGUGGGGGAUGAAGGUC